rnacentral:rRNA from 1 species
GACGAACGCUGGCGGCGUGCCUAAUACAUGCAAGUAGAACGCUGAAGAGAGGAGCUUGCUCUUCUUGGAUGAGUUGCGAACGGGUGAGUAACGCGUAGGUAACCUGCCUUGUAGCGGGGGAUAACUAUUGGAAACGAUAGCUAAUACCGCAUAACAAUAGGUGACACAUGUCAUUUAUUUGAAAGGGGCAAUUGCUCCACUACAAGAUGGACCUGCGUUGUAUUAGCUAGUAGGUGAGGUAACGGCUCACCUAGGCGACGCUACAUAGCCGACCUGAGAGGGUGAUCGGCCACACGGGGACUGAGACACGGCCCAGACUCCUACGGGAGGCAGCAGUAGGGAAGCUUCGGCAAUGGGGGCAAACCUGACCGAGCAACGCCGCGGGAGUGAAGAAGGUUUUCGGAUCGUAAAGCUCUGUUGUAAGUCAAGAACGAGUGUGAGAGUGGAAAGUUCACACUGUGACGGUAGCGUACCAGAAAGGGACGGCUAACUACGUG